UACAGAGGUCUCAAGCGUUGUUGGAUUCAUUGGGCGUAAAGGGUGCGUAGGCGGCGCGGUAAGUCGGGUGUGAAAUCUUGGAGCUUAACUCCGAAACUGCAUUCGAUACUGCCGUGCUGGAGUUCGGGAGAGGAGCGUGGAAUUCCCAGUGUAGAGGUGAAAUUCGUAGAUAUUGGGAAGAACACCGGUGGCGAAGGCGGCGCUCUGGACCGAGACUGACACUGAGGCGCGAAAGCGUGGGGAGCAAACAGG
rnacentral:rRNA from 1 species